UAUAGGAGAUGUGUAACAAGAUUGUAGAUUUGAACAUUUUAAUUUUAAUUAAUUUUUAUAAGUAUUGAUUUCAGAUACAUGUAUGACAUUGCAUGCUUGAUCGGGGAGGGGGGCUACAGUUAGAUAAUAUUCUGGUCAGCACAUUCGAUAAACUACAGUUGUACAUGGAACUCAUUAAAUCACUUCUUUUUCUUUCAGUGGUCUUCAACUUUUAAUCUCCAAGAAGGAAAUGUAAUUAAAAGAUGAAUAAAGUAUCCCUAAGAAUACCAGAAGAAAGGCUGUGUUGAGAAAAACAGCCCUUCCUCAGUACCUCAGAACUAGAUGAUAGCCCUUGUUACUUUAUGCUGAAUAUGACACAGUAUAGAAGAUCUGAUCAUGAAGAAGUUACACCAUUGAUACACUUGCCAACUGCCAAAACUACUUUCUGAUAGUAUGACGAGAUUAGAAGAUAUCAUGGUGUAGUCAUGACACAAACUGCAAAUCAAAGAUUGUCUUCCCCAGAGGAUGAACAGAGUGCUUCACAUGGAUAACAUUUCCUUUUCGAGUUUUGAAAUUAAUAAGUAUACAAAAUAUUUUAGGCCACAUAGUCAUAAAAUUAUUUUUUAGAUUUCCAUCCUUGCUUGGAAAAAAAUGGGGCAGGUGGUGUAUUUUUUAUUUUUCAGAAUAUAUAUUUCCCGUUCAUUAUACUCGCAUGUUGCUGUAGAGUGUAGAUUACUUCAUAUUUUUUUUACAUUGUUUUCUUUGGACAGAAAAUUUUCAUACAGCAAUAUUAUAAUUGUUUUUAAGUGAUUUUGAAGUACAUUUUCAUGUAACACUGAAGUUGAACAUUCUUUUGCGCUUUUUUGAAUAAUAGUAAUUUUUAGCUCACCUGAGCUGAAAGUUUAAAUGAGCUUUUCCAAUCCCCUGUUGUCCGUCUGUCUGUAAACUUUCACAUUUCUGACUUCUUUUUAAGAACCACUGGGCCAAUUUCAACCAAACUUGACAAAAAGCAUCCUUUGUGAAGGGCUUUCAAGUUUGUUCAAAUAAAGGGCCACACCCCCUUUCAAAGGGAAGAUAUAAUUACAAAAUUGCAAAAAUAGGGUUGGGUCAUCUAAAAAUUUUCUCCUGAAGAACCACUGGGCCAGAAGAGCUGAUAUUUACAUGAAAGCUUCCUGACAUAGUGUAGAUUGAAGUUUGUUCAAAUCAUGACCCCCAUAGGUAGGAUGGGGCCACAAUAGGGGAUCAAAUAUUUUACAUACAAAUAUAAAGGGAAAAUCUUUAAAAAUCAUCUUCUCAAGAAACACUGGGCUAGGAAAGUACAAAUUUACAUAAAAACUUCCUGACAUAGUGCAGAUUCAGGUUUGUUAAAAUCAUGACCCCCUGGGGUAGAAUGGGGCCAUAAAAAUCUUCUUCUCAAGAACCAUUAGGGCAAAGCAGUUUACAUAAUUUACAUGAAAGCUUCCUGACAUACAGCUCUGUAGUGCAGAUUCAAGUUUGUAAAAAUAAAAUUUCGAAAAGGUGUCGCUGUGUUUGGUGUAAUUUUUGUUUGUUCUGCACAAACUUACUCACUCAGCUUGACACAGCCUAGGUGUUCAUAUGUAAUUUUUUUAUUUUUCGUAACUUAAAAUGUCGUGUAGCAAUGGUGGCCAGAUCAAAUUUUCCUUCCAAUGUUAUAAUAGGACUAGACAUGGGUAUCAUUUUGCAUACAAUUUAAAGUAUGUUUUUGCAUAUACACAUUUCUCUAAUGCCUGUACACAUUGAAUUAUUAAACACCAGGCACGUCCUCCUUUCCCCUUUACAAGCUAUGUUUGUGUGGGGUUUUUUGGAGUUAGAUUUUAGGUAGGAGAAAUCAUGGCCCCGUGAGUAGGUUGGGCCACAAUACUUAAAUAGGGAUCAAAGUUUUAGAAGCGAAUAUGUAGAACAAAUUUUUAAAUAUGGGCCAAGGUGAAUCAGGUGAACGAUGUGGCCCAUGGGCCUCUUGUUUGAAUAUGCAGUGUAUGCAGGAUCAGGAUAUGCCAUUGCCGUAUCCGCUAAUUAAUGAGUCAUAAUUACCAUCAUUGUACCACAAAGCAACAGUCACUGUACUGUAGUUCUUUUGCUUAACAUUAUUCAAUUCAGUUUGCCAUCAUCUUCUUCUAGUCUAAGACACGCACACUCAAUAAUAAAAGUUCCAAACACAGAAUUGGGAAACGGCAUGGUAUCGCAUACUUUCACAUUCAAUAGCAUCUCUAUUAAUCAAUUUUAACAAGGCAUACAUGUGCAGUCACUUGACCAAAUGCAUAUCACACUGCAACAGUCCUUCACAACUACCACAUCUUCGGGUACCCUUAUAAUAGAAACAUGUCAAAUAUAACCACAACAUGCCAAAAUGUUAGGGUCAGUCAUUGAAAUGCUCUAAAUGUUUGAUAUACAAGCCAAAUAUUUGUUUUCAACUUCUUUUGAAAAAAAAAGGUAGAAUAAAAAACAAUGGGGUGGAUAAUUUUGAGAGGGGUGGGCGUGGAUCUGUAAAUAUGAAAGUCUAUGUGGCCUUAAGUACAGUAAAUAUGAAAGCAGAUCUUAUUAUUUAACAAUUUUGUUGAUCCAUAAUGUAUUUACAGAUUUUAUAUGAUCUUAUUUUGUAUAAUUAAAAUCUUAGAUGAUAUAUGUAGAAUAAUUAUAUCAUUUAGCAAAAUGUAAUGAUUUGUAAACUAUAGAUACAUAUACAUGUAGUAAAUUUGUGUAACAAUUAAUCCAUUCAACCCAAAAAUGAAUUUGCAUAUUUUAAUUGAUUUUUAGCUCACCUGAACCAAAGGUUCAAGUGAGCUUUUCUGAUCACAUUUUGUCUGUCCGUCUGUCUGUCUGUCCGUCCGUCUGUAAACUUUUCACAUUUUCGACUUCUUCUCCAGAACCACUGGGCCAAUUUCAACCAAACUUGGCCAAAAGCAUCCUUGGGUGAAGGGCUUUCAAGUUUGUUCAAAUGAAGGGCCAUGUCCCUUUCAAAGGGGAGAUAAUCACAAAAAUAGAGUGGGGUCAUUUAAAAAUCUUCUUUUCAAGAACCACUGGGCCAGAAGAGCUGACAUUUACCUGAAAGCUUCCUGACAUAUUGCAGAUUCAUGUUUGUUCAAAUCAUGGCCCCCGGGGGUAGGAUGGGGCCACAAGGGGGGAUCAAAGUUUUACAUACAAAUAUAUACGGAAACACUUUAAAAAUCUUCUUCUAAAGAACCACUAAGCCAGAAAAGCUGAGGCCAAAAAUAAAAAUUGAUUUGUUUGAUGUACUCUGACCGACCAAUCAAAUUUGCUCCUACCCGACCAAUUUUUCCAGCAAUUUAAAACUUUUGGGGGGGGGGGGUCCCUUGAAAAAUAGAAAAUUCUCCUUAUUCUAAAAGAAAAUAUUACAAAUUUUCAUGACGUUAAAAAAACCCAAAAAAAAAACAAAAAAAACCCUACCUACCGACCCACCUUGAAAAAUGCGAGUCAGAGUACAUCAAACAAAAAUAUUUUUAAUGAUGGCCUGAGAUUUACAUGAAAGCUUCCUGACAUAAUGCAGAUUCAAGUUUGUUCAAAUCAUUGGCCCCGGGGGUUGGAUGGGGCCACAAUAGGGGAUCAAAGUUUUACAUACAAAUAUAUAUGAAAAAUCUUUAAAAAUCUUCUUCUCAAGAACCACUGAGCCAGAAAAACUGAUUUUUACAUGAAAACUUUCUGACAUAUUGCAGAUUCAAGUUUGUUCAAAUCAUGGCCCCCGGGGGUAGGAUGGGGCCACAAUUGGGGGGGGGGGGGGCAUCAGUAAGCACGCCCCCUACUUCCGGUGUAAUGGCAGUAACUGCAAAAAUGAAGGCCAUUGUGUACAAUACUUCACGUUCUUCUGACCCAGGGAUCGAAUAUUUUCCUACAAUUUACAGUGGAUCAAAGAUAAUUGUUUGAUAGUGUUUUUCUUCUUUAUGCAUAUAUGACCCAGUAUGUCUCUGCAGAACACAGAUCUACAUCUGGCAUUUUCUAAUGACUUAAUGUUCACUAUUUUCAGUGAUCAAUUAAGUUUUUUAAAAUUAGUUUUUCAAUCAAAAUUAGCAUAAAUAUAAAUCUAUAGCUAACCAGGGGUAUGAUGCAUGUGACCCAAAUUUGUCAUUAUGCAGGGGCCUAUAUCUAUUCUACGAAGUAUAUUUGAUGCACAUUAAAGUUUGAAAAUUUUAAUUCAAAAUAUGCAUUAAAACCGCUGUUUGAACAAAGCAUAAGUAUCAUUUUAAAUUUACAUAUGUACGUAAGUAUCUUUGCUAGAUAUGAUGUUCAAAAAGAUUAAUCAGUUUUUAUACGCCCGUCGAAGACGGGACGUAUUAUAGUAUAGCGUCGUCCGUCUGUCUGUCCAUCUGUCCGGACCUUGUGGGCAGGAUACAGACUGAACCAUAAGCCCUAGGACCUUACAACUUGGUACAUUUGAUCACCAUGAUGAGAGGAAGAUGUCUAUUGUUUUUCAAGGUCAGAGGUCAAAGGUCAAGGUCGUAGUAUCACUUUUUAGGAAAAGCUUGUGGGCAGGAUACAAACCGAACCGUAAGCUUCAGGAUAUUAUAACUUGGUUCAUUUGAUCACCAUGAUGAGAGGAAGAUGCCUAUUAUUUUUCAAGGUCAAAGGUCAAGGUCGUAGUAUCACUUUUUAGGAAAAGCUUGUGGGCAGGAUACAAACCGAACUGUAAGCUCCAGGAUAUUGUAACUUGGUAUAUUUGAUCAUCAUGAUGAGAGGAAGUUGUCUAUUGUUUUUCAAGGUCAAAGGUCAAGGUCGUAGUUUCACUUUGUAGGAAAACCUUGUGGGCAGGAUACAAACCGAACCGUAAGCUCCAGGAUAUUAUAUCUUGGUAUAUUUGAUCACCAUGAUGAGAGGAAGAUGCCUGCUGUUUUUCAAGGUCAAAGGUCAAGGUCAUAGUAUCACUUAUUAGGAAAACCUUGUGGGCAGGAUACAUACCGAACCGUAAGCGCCAGGAUAUUAUAACUUGGUAUAUUUAAUCAUCAUGGUGAGAGGAAGAUGCCUAUUGUUUUUCAAGGUCAAAGGUCAAGGUCGUAGUAUCUUUUAUUAGGAAAACUGUGUGGACAGGAUACAAACCAAACCGUAAGCUCCAGGAUAUUAUAACUUGGUAUAUUUGAUCAUCAUGAUGAGAGGAAGGUGCCUAUUGUUUUUCAAGGUCAAAGGUCAAGGCCGUAGUAUCUCUUAUUAGGAAAACCUUGCGGGCAGGAUACAAACCGAACCGUUAGCAUAUUUAUGAAGUAGCGCAUUCUAAGGCUAUCCCUCUUUAUAUCUUGAUAUCCAUUUCUACAAGCGUAAUAAUGAAUUAGCUCACAAAGGACAGUGCUAACUUCACUAAAAUAUGAAUCCCACUAAAAUAUGUUUUCCUUGAGCAAAAUCUACGGGCAUAUUAUGCCACGUUGGCAUUGCUCUUGUUUUAAUUACUGAUUAGAUCACCUGAGUGGGUAUAAGGAUUGAUAAACUAAGAUUUUGAAUUUUUAAAAAAGCUAACAGACAGAUGAAAGAGCUUGAUAAAUACCAUAAUACAGUCCAUCAUAACAUGGGUGCAUGAAAAUCAGGUUCUAGAGCAGAUAUUAAUAUAUUAGGUAGAACAUUGAUGAUACGUCUGGUAUAUGUAAGUUGUAACACCCUCUUCAUUAAUACUGUGCAUUUUGACAAAACAGUAUAUGAAGUCCAGUGGUUCCAUUGAAUUUGAACAUAUGUUGGAUAAAUAUAUAAUUAGUAGUGGUAGGGAACAGGUAUUGCUUGAAUGUGUCUACUAGAUUUCUUGUUAAAAAACCUUCACUUUAAUUUCAGUCAAACAUAAUUUUGCAUCAAAGAGAAAAAGUGGCUUUGACAUAACCUAGAAAAUACAAUAUUCAUUAAAAAGAGCAUGGCACCAGGAUAGCUAGAUGCCCAUAUUCCCAGCAAAAUGAGCCAGUCCUAAAGAGAGUCCACUAGAGAUGAAAUAAAACUCAUUAAAAUGUAUUGAGAAAAGAUUUGUCAGAAUGUUAUGCAUCAUGAUCAACAGAAAAAAACUUCACAGGUAGACCAAAGCUGACAUGGGAUGAGAUCCUAAAACGAGACCUAGAGUUUAGAGGAUUGGAUAGGAUCAAUCCACUGGGUCGCCAAGUGUGGAAGUACAAACUUCAACCUCGACAGGACAGCCAGGCCUCACCCUUGAAAAAUAUUAAUUUGGCCUGGAUAGUCAAAAUGAGUGAUGAUGAUGAUAUCAAGGUAUGACACUGUAAGCUCAGUAAGGGUAGAUGCUGGCAAUGGAGCUGUUAAGCAAUAAAACAAACAGGUUUAACAUUGAACAUGUUUAUAUACUUUUUUAGCUCACCUGAGCCAAAGGCUCAAAUGAGCUUUUCUGAUCACCUUUGCCUGUUGUCUGUCUCUCUGUAAACUUUUCACAUUUUCAUUUUCUUCUCCGGAGUGAACCACUGGGCCAGUUUCAAUCAAACUUGGUAUGCAUCAUCAAUAGAUAAAGGGUAUGCAAAAAUAGGGUGGGGUCAUUUAAAAAACCUUUUCAAGAACCACUGGACCAGGAAAGUUGAAUUCACAUAAAAGGUUCCUGUUUUGUGCAAAUCAUGGUAUCCGGGGGUAGGGUGAGGUCACAAUCGAGGAUCAAAGUUUUACAUUCAUAUAUAGUACAGAUUCAAGUUUGUUAAAGGUCAUGGCUCACAGGGGUAGAGUGGGGUCACAAUAGGGGAUCUAAGUUUUAUAUGUGAAAUAUAUACAAGGAAAAUCUUUUAAAUCUUCUCCUAAAAAACUAGAUGCAGAACUAAACCCAAAAUCGUAGCUCUUUGAGAAGAUAUUGGGGCAAGUCAGAGCGCUAGAUCUUCAGAUGAACCCCUUAUUAAAAAUCUUCAAUUUACGGCACAGAAAAAAAGUGCAUGGUUAAGUCCCUCUAUCACUGCAUUCCUGCAUCGCUGUCUCAUGAAUUUAAUAUUAAAUAAUUCCUAACAUAUUUCCCACUAUACUUGUUUCCAAGCAUACUUUCAAAUAUUCCUUAAACCCACAUAUAACCUAAAAACUCACAGCUUCAAGUGAUUUUCUUUGUUGAUGUAACCAUGUUAGGUAUACGUAGCCAGUCAAUUUGAACCCCAGUUCAUUUCCAUACUCGUACUCAUUUUGAAACAUAAUGUCUGUGUGAACUAAUAUCCCCACAAAUAUUUUUAGUGAAAUAUUUUGGAUGAAAUCAUCCCAGUUGGGUUAAAUACUUAUUAUUCAAAAACUGUAGGUUUGAAUAUUGAACUAAUCUCACAGCUUUCUUAAGUUUGGUCCCCAUCCACUCUAGUCUGUUUUUACGCUUAACUAUUGAAAUGGAGUGUAAGGGAUCAGACUAGGCUUUAAUAGCAUUAUCAAUUUUCAAAAGCUUUAGAAAAAUUAUACAAUUUUAGGUCACUUGAGUAAACUCAGAUGACAUAUUGCUAUUGGUCUGCGUCCGUUGUAGUCCGUCGAUGUUAACAAUUGAAUAUUUUUAACUAAAUUCUAUAACUGAAAGGUGAAGAUAACGAACAGCGAUCAAUCUACGAUUCGAAUCACAGAAUUCUUUUCAAAUUUAGUAUGAAGCACACACAUUUACAUUAAACCUUCCUGACAUAGUGCAUAUUCAAGUUUGUUAAAAUCAUUUCCCGGGAGGUAUGGUGUGGUAACAAUAGGGGAUCAAAGUUUUAUAUGCUGAUAUAUUUAAAGGAAAAAUCUUUAAAGAUAUCUCUUGAACUAUUUAAGCUACAGCUUUCAUAUCUUGUAUAUACAAUUUUUAUGGCAAAACAAAUCUGACCUAUUCAGUGUGUCCUAAACUACAUUGUGUUUAAGGUAAAUCUUAUACGGUACCAAUUUUGAUGCACCAGAUGCGCAUUUCGACAAAUAAUGUCUCUUCAGUGGUUGUCGUGGGUUCGAAUCCUGCUUACACCGUUAAGUGAGAAAGUUUCCCAGUUUACUCUCGGAAGGUCAGUGGUCUCUUCCCAGGUACAUUGUAUCUGGGUUCUCUCUUCCACCAAUAAAAACUGGGCACCACCAGAUAACUGAAAAAUUGUUGAGUGUGGCGGAAAACAGCUAAAACAAUCAAUCAUAUUAUGUUCUUUGACCUUGUGACCCUGAACUCUGAGUUUGACCUACUUUUAAGAAAGUAUAACCUAUUAAGUAUAUCCAGGACUAUUUUAGAUAGGCCUUUCAUGUAUUGUAUAUAGAUUACUUAUGGCAAGGUCUUUCAUAUCAUUCCAAGACCUAUGACUUCAUACCUUGGUCUUAUCCAGAACAGCAAUAUCAUGUUUGUCAUAUCUUUGUGUUAUAUGAUUUCAUUUCAGUAAUGUUGUGUUCUUUAGAGGUAGGUUUGGGUCACAUUAUUCAUGAGAAUAAAGAUUGAUAAAAUAGCAUUUAAAAAUCAAAACAGCAGGGCCAAGGUGACUGAGGUGAGCGAUGUGGCCCCUGGGCCUCUUGUUGAUUUUGAUAUUUGUACAGAUAUCGUUUGUAUGAGAAAUGGAACUCUUUUUUUUUCUUUUACAAAUACAUGUAUUAUCAUAUGGAUCCAUCUGUGUUGAUUAUUUAAUCAAAGGACUACAUUCAAUGUAUUAAAUGCAAAUUUAUUGAUAUGUCUGUGGUUGAAUUACUCAUGUAUGUAUACAUUUUUUUGGCACAUGCAAUUACAUAUAUAAUGUAUAUAUAUAUACUAAUUGUACAUAUAACAUCUCCUGUAAUAUAAUAAAAUAUAUGACUGAGAAUAAAA